rnacentral:rRNA from 1 species
GACGAACGCUGGCGGCGUGCUAAACACAUGCAAGUCGAACGGUAAGGCCCUUCGGGGUACACGAGUGGCGAACGGGUGAGUAACACGUGGGUGAUCUGCCCUGCACUUCGGGAUAAGCCUGGGAAACUGGGUCUAAUACCGGAUAGGACCACUGCCUGCAUGGGUGGUUGUGGAAAGCUUUUGCGGUGUGGGAUGGGCCCGCGGCCUAUCAGCUUGUUGGUGGGGUGAUGGCCUACCAAGGCGACGACGGGUAGCCGGCCUGGGAGGGUGACCGGCCACACUGGGACUGAGAUACGGCCCAGACUCCUACGGGAGGCAGCAGUGGGGAAUAUUGCACAAUGGGCGCAAGCCUGAUGCAGCGACGCCGCGUGAGGGAUGACGGCCUUCGGGUUGUAAACCUCUUUCAGCACCGACGAAGCGCAAGUGACGGUAGGUGCAGAAGAAGGACCGGCCAACUACGUGCCAGCCGCCGCCGUAA